AUAACCGGUUACGGGCUUCGAAAACAACCCAUAUUUUUCGUCGUUGGAGUCCUUCCGGACUUCUGAUUUUGAUUUUGUAAAAACCUCCGAUCUCAGAAUUCGACAUACUAUAAUUAUUCCGUGAUUAAAAUAACAAAUUCACGUUAUAUCACAGAUUAGCAUAAAAAAUCAUUUAUUCUCAUCAAUUCAUAUGUACUCCAAACCU
rnacentral:lncRNA from 1 species